CUCUGAUCACAUUGUCUCACUGCUUCCAGUUGUGUCCCUACCAAGGAAUAAAAGGGAACGAGUCCAGUGUGACACCAGGAACACUCCUGAAGAUCAUAUUGAAUAUGCCUCAGUGAAUUGGCUGGGAAGCUCCAGGCAUCCACGGCCCCAGAGAGAAGAGACACCGACAUACGCGACCAUCGCUCUGCAGCGGGACAGAUGUCGUUAAUGCCCCAUUUGCUGAAAU